GAACACAAUUGGAACCCCCUGUUUUCCCUUCUCAUCUGAUCUAGGAAGGUAAGCAGGGUCAGGCCUGGUUAGUACUUGGAUGGAAGACUGCCUGGGAAUACCAGGUUCUGUAAGCU
rfam:Salmo salar isolate Sally breed double haploid chromosome ssa14, whole genome shotgun sequence.